rnacentral:rRNA from 1 species
CAGUAGCCGCGGUAAAACCAGCACCUCGAGUGGUCAGGAGGUUUAUUGGGCCUAAAGCAUCCGUAGCCGGUUGCAUAAGUUUUCGGUUAAAUCUAUGCGCUUAACGUAUAGGCCGCCGAAAAUACUGUGCAGCUAGGGAGUGGGAGAGGUACACGGUACUCGAUAGGAAGGGGUAAAAUCCUUUGAUCUAUUGAUGACCACCUGUGGCGAAGGCGGUGUACCAGAACACGUUCGACGGUGAGGGAUGAAAGCUGGGGGAGCAAACCGGAUUAGAUACCCCAGUAGUCCCUGUCUCUUAUAC